rnacentral:rRNA from 1 species
GACGAACCGUGCGAACGUUGUUCGGAAUCACUGGGCAUAAAGGGCGCGUAGGCGGCUCUCAAAGUCAGGGGUGAAAUCCGGCAGCUUAACUGUCGAAGUGCCUUUGAUGCUGGGGAGCUCGAGGGAGGUAGGGGUGUGUGGAACUUCCGGUGGAGCGGUGAAAUGCGUUGAUAUCGGAAGGAACGCCGGUGGCGAAAGCGACACACUGGACCUCUUCUGACGCUGAGGCGCGAAAGCUAGGGGAGCAAACGGG